GUCUAGCUGAUGAGUUCCAAAUAAGACUAAACGUGCUUCUUAAAC
rnacentral:hammerhead_ribozyme from 1 species